rnacentral:rRNA from 1 species
AGAGCGAACGCUGGCGGCAGGCCUAAAACAUGCAAGUCGAACGGACCCUUCGGGGUUAGUGGCGGACGGGUGAGUAACACGUGGGAACGUGCCUUUUGGUUCAGAACAACUCAGGGAAACUUGAGCUAAUACUGAAUAAGCCCUACGGGGAAAGAUUUAUCGCCAUUAGAGCGGCCCGCGUUGGAUUAGCUAGUUGGUGAGGUAAAGGCUCACCAAGGCUACGAUCCAUAGCUGGUCUGAGAGGAUGAUCAGCCACACUGGGACUGAGACACGGCCCAGACUCCUACGGGAGGCAGCAGUUAGGAAUCUUGCGCAAUGGGCGAAAGCCUGACGCAGCCAUGCCGCGUGAAUGAUGAAGGUCUUAGGAUUGUAAAAUUCUUUCAGUGGGGAAGAUAAUGACUGUACCCACAGAAGAAGCUCCGGCUAACUUCGUGCCAGCAGCCGC